UCCUUUUGUAUGAAUUGGUGCUUUCUGAAGU
rnacentral:piRNA from 1 species